rnacentral:lncRNA from 1 species
GCCUAACAUGCUAAAAUCUUGACAAUAAUUGACUGCAACCAUGUUACUUAAAACUAUAAAUAAAUAUAAAAAUUUGCUGCAAACAUGACAAGUUGGGAAAGUAACCAAGAAAACACUUCCUAUACAACGUUAACCAAAAGUAUCCGAGUGUAUUGCACCAACAUUCCCAGCCGCACUCAAUUACUUUUUCUCCGUCCGCGUGCGCUAGAGCAUGUUUACGUGUGCGUGCGUAUAGACUUUCUCAGAGAAGGCUCGAAGAGUAGUGGCGCGUUUAGCUCAUGGAUGUAGAUUCUUCCAUCUACCGACCCAGAGGAGGCGA